AACGAACGUUGGCGGCGUGGAUUAGGCAUGCAAGUCGCGGGAAUCCCAGCAAUGGGGGAACCGGCGUAAGGGGCAGUAAGGCAUGGGUACCUACCCUGGGGUUCGGAAUAGCCUUCAGAAAUGGAGGGUAAUACCGGAUGACGUCGUGAGACCAAAGGUCCGCCGCCCUGGGAGGGGCCCAUGUGAUAUUAGCUAGUUGGUGAGGUAACGGCUCACCAAGGCGAAGAUGUCUAGCGGGUGUGAGAGCACGACCCGCGCCACUCGCACUGAGACACUGGCGAGACACCUACGGGUGGCUGCAGUCGAGGAUCUUCGGCAAUGGGCGCAAGCCUGACCGAGCGACGCCGCGUGUGCGAUGAAGGCCUUCGGGUUGUAAAGCACUUUAGUGGGGGAGAAAAGCCGAAAGGUUUGAUCUAUCCCAAAAAUAAGCACGGGCUAAGUUCGUGCCAGCAGCCGCAGUAAUAC
rnacentral:rRNA from 1 species